rnacentral:rRNA from 1 species
GAUGAACGCUGGCGGCGUGCCUAAUACAUGCAAGUCGAGCGAACAGACGAGGAGCUUGCUCCCCUGACGUUAGCGGCGGACGGGUGAGUAACACGUGGAUAACCUACCUAUAAGACUGGGAUAACUUCGGGAAACCGGAGCUAAUACCGGAUAAUAUAUUGAACCGCAUGGUUCAAUAGUGAAAGACGGUUUUGCUGUCACUUAUAGCUGGCUCCGCGCCGCAUUAGCUAGUUGGUAAGGUAACGGCUUACCAAGGCAACGAUGCGUAGCCGACCUGAGAGGGUGAUCGGCCACACUGGAACUGAGACACGGUCCAGACACCUACGGGAGGCAGCAGUAGGGAAUCUUCCGCAAUGGGCGAAAGUCUGACGGAGCAACGCCGCGUGAAGGAUGAAGGUCUUCGGAUCGUAAAACUCUGUUAUUAGGGAGGAACAAAUGUGUAAGUAACUAUGCACGUCUUGACGGUACCUGAACAGAAAGCCACGGCUAACUACGUG